GACGCGAGAGAGUGAUGGCAGCAGCGCCGCCGGCAGCCCCCCCUAGCCGUCCCCGCUCGGGACGCCCCAUCAGGGCCCGAUCGAUGGCCUGCUGGUCCCUUCCAGCCUAACCGCCGCGGCUCAUCCACUGCCCCUCUGAGCUUCAGUGUCCCAAUCUCACGUCAAUCCUUUCUGCCUCCUCCGAGGGAGGCCACCACUCUGCAGCAGACCACACAGGACCACCAGAUACCUUUGCACCCUCAAGGUAGCCAGGAUCAGGGGGAUCAGGAUCAGGAUCAGCAUCAGAGGCUCUAGGGUGGGUGGCCGUGCCUGCCUGCCCCUUGGCCGCUUCCCAACGCUUGCCCUUCUCCAGGGUUGAGGCAGGGUCCCCAAGAGAUGGUGGCACAGCGCAGGGGUGAUGUCUACUGCUGGCGGUAGGUGGCAUGUGGUUGGGAGGCCGCAGUGGGCACGCACGCUGCCGGGAAGAGGACCUCUGCCACUCCAGACCGAAGACCUGUAGUGGCCGCACCUCCCCGUGAUCAGUUGCGCAUUAAAGAUGCGCUAGAGUGAAGGCAGGGGUCAGGCUGCCAGCCCUUCCAGGACAAAGUCAGACUUCAAAGAAAAAAACUGUGGGUUUUUCAAAGAGGAAAGAAAUUCUGAGACGUCCCCAGGGAUUUACUGAUUUUUGUUUUAGCAGUGAGGGACUUGGGAGAGCCCUUCCCUGUGCUUGAAGGACGCGGUGUUAACAGCGACGAACGCCCAUCUCUGUGUGCCUCGCGAUUUGCAGCCCAGCAAAGCAGUCCCAGAGGAUUUGAGGAGCCGCCUCUGCUGUCAGAACAUAGCCAAGAGCAAAAUAAAAAUGAAAAGCAAACAUCCAAAGCUUCGCCACUCAAAGGAAAGGAAGCAAAACAGCAAAAUAAGGGGGGAAAGGUCAGGGCAAACAACGGAAAAAGAAAGAACACAGAAUGUAAUGGGUGGAAAAGAAAAAAAAAGCCAGUAGAUUUCUGUUCUUUUUUUUUUUUAAGUAAUUAUAAAAACAGUUUAAAAUUUCCUUUUCAAGGCUGCAUAAUGAGAAAUAUUUUGACAAUUUCCAGGAAAAAAUAUAGUACUCCCCAAACAAUGAUUUCUCAGAUUAUUGCGCUGGUGUCCUUGCCCUGCCGACAACAGUUUGCAGGGUUGAUCUUGCCAGUAGAAGGGAAAGAUAAUCAGGGCAGGAGAAACGAGAUUAAUCAUGUUUUAAUAACUUUUUUAUUCCAAUGAUCUUUUCCCUCGGUUGCCUCAAGGCAUGACAGGCGUUGGCCGAUGUGGCCCUGACGGGCUGACUCACAGAUACAGAAAUGCCCUUCCUGCUGACAUACUGCUUUUCCUUUAUAAAAGCUGAUUAAUCAUGCUCCUCUGCAAUGCAAAGUUAUUGCAAGACAUUACCGGCUGGCCGCUGCGAUAACAGGAGGGAGACCUUUCACUUUACUUGAGUCUGACUCAUCUGAAAUGUCAUUGUCAUCCUUCAGCCAGAGGAAUGCUGAUAGAGGGUAUUUUGAAUAUUUCUUUUGACCUGUGGUUAUGGGGCGGGGGGUGUGUCACGGAUUUUCUUUGCUUGUUUGUUGGAUUUUGGAAAUGAGGUUCCUAAUGUCAGAAUGCUGACAAUUAUACACAAUUUAAUAUAAGGUAAUAUAAUGUAAUAUAAUAUAAUAUAUUAUAAUAUAACAUAGUUGAUAUAGUUAAUAUAAUAAAUAUAACAAAUAUAAUAUAAUAUAAAUAACAAUAUAAUCUUAAAUUGUUAUGUCAAGAUUUAAAAAAAAUUAAAAGCAGACCAUUAAGUAGCAUAUAGGUCCUUUCCCAUCUACACACGAUCUGCGUGUGAUCCCACUUGGGAUCAUUAAAACUGCUCAGGGCUGCCUUCUCCCUGAUUUGGGCGAUCUGCUUGGGGUUUUGUGGUGUCCACCGGCUGCGUACGACAGCAAGUAAUGGCAGCGCCAGACAAAUAAAUACAUCCAAAAAUAAGACUUAAUGCCCGGCCAAGCACCCAGGCAAGGUAGGGACCUGCAAGUGGGGGGUUGCUGCACAGCCGCACACAGGAUGCUUAAUUGGCUGCAUAUUAAUUAAGAGCACUACUUAGGGCGGUUUUGCCUGGAGCGAGCUUUGUUUGCAAUGGCUUUGGAGAAGGCAGGGCUGGGGAGGUCACGCCAGGUGGUGAGUGAGUCUUCUUUCUUGUUAAAACUGGGAAAAUGAGUUUUCUCCACAGGUGCCCUCAUAUCUCCAUGGUCUGUUACAGCCACAAGUUUCAGUCCAGGUACAGAAAAUACACUUGAGGGUAGUGGUAGGGCUGAGCUAGGUCCUGCAAGCAUGCCUGGUACUUUUUUUCCUCUGGCUCAUAGUUUUCUGUGAAUUCUUGGACUACAACCAGGGAAACCAGCCGGUGCCGUUUCCCACAGGGCUUAAGCCUCCUUAGGCUGGGAGUUUGCGAUAUCUGGCAUGGCAAGUGUGUGACUUCUCCUCCUACCAUCACCUUCACCUGGCGCCCUGCCUUUACACCCUGUCCCACCCCUCUGCCCCUGCCCCAAGCCAGCGCGGCUGAAUUAAUUGGCAUUUUCUGUACGUGAUGGCUCACAUGUAGCUCUAUUUACAGGGGAUGGACCUUGUCAGGACCCCAGCAGGGAAAAUAUUGGAAAUUUUGCUUAUUUAGGGGCAUUAGACUCUUAUCCUUCUCCAUGAGCUUCCUGUUGAGCCUUGCAACGUCUCCGAGACAUGCACUUGCCCAGCAGCUUGAGGGACCUGGGUUUUCCCUUAGGAAAGCCAAAGGAUCUUCCCUCUGCCUCAGGCUGGUUUUUCCACGUUGUCACCGCCACUGCUCCAAUCUGCUCGGCGAGGCGUGAACUUCGCUUAGCGGCCUUGAAAGGGCUCAGGAGAACCAAAUGCCAAGAAAUAUUUAAAAGAUAAAAAUAAUAAAAAGAGGAAAUGAGCAGACAUUUAAAGCAUUUGUUUUUCCAGUGGCUGAGUCUUUGUGGGAUUUGAAGGAAGGAGUGUGGUAUUUUGUAGAUUAUAUUUUAACAUUAGUCAGUACCUUUUCUCUGAAUUCUUCUGGUGGAUGCCGUUUACUUGCUGCACCUUUCCCAGAAAUGGGGAAAAAUUAUAUCCCCGGGGGUGGCUGAAUUACUACGUUGCGCUCCUUCGCUUUGGUUUAUCAGGUUAGCCGUGAGGCUCUUGCAGGGGGAACUCCGUCCAACGUGCCCCAACCUCAGCAGGGCAAAAUAAAUAGGAUUAGGGGUAACAGCAGGCUGGCUGUCUCUCACCAUGCUCUGGCUAGGAGCAAUGUUCCUGCUAAAAGAGAACCGUCGUCCCACCCUUGGCAGCUCCUUGUGCUCGACGGGGACCCCCCUGCUCCCUGCACGGACAUUGCCAGCAAAUGUUGCAUGGCCGGUACCUUAUCCCCAUGGGUGCUUUCCAGGGCAGGCAGAACAACUCUGGGAAUGCUCUUUGUAGUUUGAUGCGUGGAGGCACCAAACAUCCAUCAUGAGGUGUAGUGUCCUUUUUUUUUUGUUUUCUUGUUUUGAAACACAAUUUAAGGCAAAUGUUAAUGACUGAUAAAACACCACAUGAAUGCCAUUACAGACAUGGGUGAUACGAGUGGGGUUUUGUGUCCUUGAGGUUUUUUCCCCCAUCUUUGUGAUCUUUUAAGGACGGCCUUUCUUUGGUGGUGCAUGUCGUGGAGGCAGCUCUAGCCACCGGCAAUCCCACAGUUUGAAUUCAUCGAGUGACUUCUGUGCCUGGUUGCUGCCCAGAGCCAGAAAAGCAGAUCUCUGCCCUCACACAGAGCGACGCUGAAAUCAGCGGGAUUGCUCGUGGGCUUAGGACCUUGCUCGUGGGCUUAGGACCUUGCUCAUGGGCUUAGGAUCCAACCGAGAUCAUGCCAGUGCCCCUACCCCAUGGCCUUGGUAGAUAUGGAGUGAAUGGCCCUCGCUCAGGCAGCAGUGCCUACGAAAGGCUGAGACCCCACU